rnacentral:lncRNA from 1 species
GUGAGAGGUCUCCUGCACACCCACUGAACCACCUGCUCCCCCUGGUGACUUCUCUACAGAAGCCUGAGCCAUGUCUCUAAUGCAUGAAUCUCAUCAUGUUACUCCCCCAUUUACAUCACUUCUCCUUGCCUCGGGGAUUAAGUCCAAACUCCUUAACAGCCCCCGCUCUGCCCUGCCUUGCAAGGCAGCCUCACUGCUUGCCCCUCUCCAUUUCACCUGCUAUGGAGUCCAACUGAGCCUCAUCUACCCCCUGAAUGCACACUCUUUCUCCUCUGGGAGUCUCUGAAGUGGGUGAUAUCCUCUGCUUAUAAUAUGCUUCCCCUUAAACCUCUACUCUCUUCCUGGCUAGCUUCGGCUCCUCUGUCACUUGUCCGCUUUGGCAUCACCUCCUCAUGGAAGACUUCCUUGACUCCUCAGAUUCUCAGGAGCAUGGCAGAAAGCAAGGAAGCCAUCAAAGUCCAACAGGAUCACAUCAAAAAGACGUAAGAGUCAACUUGAAGAGAUAAUUAUUAACCUAGAUGAGACAACGUAAGCAUCCAAAACAAUAAAGACUGCAAUGGCCUGAAAUACAUCAAAUGCAAACAAUAAUCUAUGAGUUCAUAAU